rnacentral:rRNA from 1 species
CUGAGAGGAUGAUCAGCCACACCGGGACUGAGACACGGCCCGGACUCCUACGGGAGGCAGCAGUGGGGAAUAUUGGACAAUGGGGGAAACCCUGAUCCAGCCAUGCCGCGUGUGUGAAGAAGGCCUUUUGGUUGUAAAGCACUUUAAGCAGUGAAGAAGACUCUUCGGUUAAUACCCGGAGACGAUGACAUUAGCUGCAGAAUAAGCACCGGCUAACUCUGUGCCAGCAGCCGCGGUAAUACAGAGGGUGCAAGCGUUAAUCGGAAUUACUGGGCGUAAAGGGAGCGUAGGUGGCUCUAUAAGUCAGAUGUGAAAUCCCCGGGCUUAACCUGGGAACUGCAUCUGAAACUGUAGAGCUAGAGUAUGUGAGAGGGAGGUAGAAUUUCAGGUGUAGCGGUGAAAUGCGUAGAGAUCUGAAGGAAUACCGAUGGCGAAGGCAGCCUCCUGGCAUAAUACUGACACUGAGGCUCGAAAGCGUGGGUAGCAAACAGGAUUAGAUACCCUGGUAGUCCACGCCGUAAACGAUGUCUACUAGUCGUUGGGUCCCUUGAGGACUUAGUGACGCAGCUAACGCAAUAAGUAGACCGCCUG